rnacentral:sRNA from 1 species
AUAUAUAUAUAUAGAAAACAAGUAGA